AUAUGACUACUGGCAGGAUCAACCAGGUAGCACGUCCUCUUAGACUUCCAACACCGGUAGUCACCCACCCACCACCACUUGCGUGGCAAUGCGGAGGCAACAAUCGGGCCGGUUGUCGCUGUUGAGCGGGCCGAGCUCGUCCGUCUUAUUUGGGGAUCGGAAUCGAGUAUGCUGCGUAAUCCUUGCCACUUGCUGUGGAAAGGUAGAGGCAACAUUCGUUCAACGAUGUUCUCAAAGUCGGAGAGCAUUCUUAGGGUCUUGCUCGUCCGACUUAUUUGGGGAUCGGACUCGAGUCUGCUGCGUAAUCCUUCCACUUGUUGUGGAAAGGUAGAGGCAACAUUCGUUCAACGAUGUUCUCAAAGUCGGAGAGCGUUCUUAGGGUCAGCCCCGAGGCAACCAAAUGGGCCACGAGGAUAUAUAUCAUGAGCGACAUCCAAAACCAUUAACGAGAGCGAGGCUGCCUUGAUAGCACCAGGCACGAGAACCAGCACCACGAGGCAACGCCACAAUCGCCAUAUGGCCGCAGCAACACACCCAAAGGCGUCCACCACGAGGCAACUAUGUAUGAAGCACCAAUACCCAUAGGUCAGGUAACAUCACGCAAGCACUUGAAAGGCAAAGUAAGAUAGCUCACACAAAUGGCAAGACACGGCGCCAAUAGUCGGCCGCACAAAGACGGGGGACCUACCAGCAGACACGGGUCAAAAACAUCUCAUGCGCUCGCGUA
rnacentral:misc_RNA from 1 species